AUUGCGCCCUUUGGUAUUCCAAAGGGCAUGCCUGUUCGAGCGUCAUUUGUACCCUCAAGCUUUGCUUGGUGUUGGGCGUUUUGUCUUUGCUCGCCAAAGACUCGCCUUAAAACGAUUGGCAGCCGACCUCUUGGUUUCGCAGCGCAGCACAAUUUUGCGCUUGCAAAUCAGCAAGUUGGCACUCCAUCAAGAACAUUUUCUUACGUUUGACCUCGGAUCAGGUAGGGAUACCCGCUGAACUUAAGCAUAUCAAUAAGCGGAGGAAAAGAAACCAACAGGGAUUGCCCUAGUAACGGCGAGUGAAGCGGCAACAGCUCAAAUUUGAAAUCUGGCUCUUUCAGAGUCCGAGUUGUAAUUUGCAGAGGGCGCUUUGGCUUUGGCAGCGGUCCAAGUUCCUUGGAACAGGACGUCACAGAGGGUGAGAAUCCCGUACGUGGUCGCUAGCUAUUGCCGUGUAAAGCCCCUUCGACGAGUCGAGUUGUUUGGGAAUGCAGCUCUAAAUGGGAGGUAAAUUUCUUCUAAAGCUAAAUAUUGGCCAGAGACCGAUAGCGCACAAGUAGAGUGAUCGAA
rnacentral:rRNA from 2 species